CUCAAGUUUUUUUGUUUUUUGUUUUUUAAAUAGAGCAAGCUAACUUUUGUUUGCCUCUAUCCAGUGAUUUUUUAACCUUCUGGGUUUAAGGGCCUCAUUGAGAAUCUGAACAAAGUUGUGGAAUGCUUCCCAGAGAGGUGCAUUUGCAUAGCUGCACAAUGAUUUGAAUAUUAAUAACCUCUACUCUAGUGUUCUUGGCCCUAUUAGAAGAACUGAAGCAGCGUAACUAAUAACUAACGAUAGACAUCAUUAAUUGAGUCCUUUCCAGUCUCCUAGGCGCCACCAGAAUCUACUCACUGUUAGCAUCAAGGGCUCAAAACUACAUAGUUUUAUAAAGUCCUUUUAUUGUUGCUGAUGAAAUUAAUUAGAUCCUUCCUGACUUGUGAGUGAAGCAAGGGGUUUACGUUUAAAAAAAAAAUCAAAAUUCCGUGCUCACUGAGAAUCAGCAAACCCCUUCAACCUUCUGAGUCUUCCUUUAUGUCACCUGUAAUCUGAGGAGAGUAACUGUCCCCAAGACAGAGCAGAAACAAAGGAAACUGUACGCAGCCACAGCAGAGCACGUCCCCGCAUACAGCUUGCACUAUAAAUAUUUAACUUCACUGUAGGCAUGUAUAAGAGGUUGAUUUGUUUGCAGGAAGAAUCCUGUUCAAAUAGGAAAUGAUUACUUGGACUAAGAAAUUCAUGGCCAUAAUAUUUACGUUGCAUGUUAAAAAACAGAAAACAGCAAGGGCACAAGUGAACUGCAGAGUAUUCCAGCCACACAGGACUCAAACACAUUAGCCAAACAAAGCUCUUUAAUCCUCUGGUCUCAUCCUCUCUGGUGACCCCGAUUUUGGAAGGCCUUUGGAGGUUGCCUUUCCGAAAGCUUUAACACUUCCCUGCCAACAGAGUAGGUUCUUGUGAAUGUGGAAAGAGAUUCUUUCAAGUGACAGGAUUGUCCUGAAGAGGGAAGAAAGUAGAAAGCAACAAAGACACUUUUCUAGUGACGUCAAAACAACAACAACAACAACACCCCAAAAUUUGAUGAUAAUGUAAUAUAUAAUCUGGGGUAGAGUAGACAUUUAGAGAUUUACUCUGUUAGGGCCACAAAAAGAUAUCUUAUCAUAACUUGCAGUUUCUUAUCUUCUUCUUCCAGUUUUAGUUUUUACUGGUGCCUACUGUCAACCUAUACCCAUGCACAUCCUGUUUGCUCUGGGGUCACCCACCUCUCAACUGCUCUGUAAGAGUUGAUCUACAUUCAAAAUGGUCCAUCUAUUUGAGUGCUAUGGAUUGUUGGGCCUAACUCAGCCAAACAUCUAUGGCCUAAAGGAAAGACCUAAGGCUGGCUCAAGUCCGGAUACCUGCCUCGCUCGCUUCUGUACUAGAGUGACUAAGCACGACCUCCUUAAGCCAACCUUUGCCUAGCUACCGCUGAUGUAGAAUAACUUCAUUGGCUCUGCCAGUCACCCCAUGCCCUCCAUCACCCUUCCCCACCUCCUACCUCAUCUCAUCCCCCCCAAAUCCCCCCUCCCCC
rnacentral:lncRNA from 1 species